rnacentral:rRNA from 1 species
GGAACUGAGACACGGUCCAGACUCCUACGGGAGGCAGCAGUGGGGAAUAUUGCACAAUGGGCGCAAGCCUGAUGCAGCCAUGCCGCGUGUGUGAAGAAGGCCUUCGGGUUGUAAAGCACUUUCAGUCGUGAGGAAGGUGGUGGUGUUAAUAGCAGUAUUAUUUGACGUUAGCGACAGAAGAAGCACCGGCUAACUCCGUGCCAGCAGCCGCGGUAAUACGGAGGGUGCGAGCGUUAAUCGGAAUUACUGGGCGUAAAGCGCAUGCAGGUGGUUUGUUAAGUCAGAUGUGAAAGCCCGGGGCUCAACCUCGGAAUUGCAUUUGAAACUGGCAGACUAGAGUACUGUAGAGGGGGGUAGAAUUUCACGUGUAGCGGUGAAAUGCGUAGAGAUCUGAAGGAAUACCGGUGGCGAAGGCGGCCCCCUGGACAGAUACUGACACUCAGAUGCGAAAGCGUGGGGAGCAAACAGGAUUAGAUACCCUGGUAGUCCACGCCGUAAACGAUGUCUACUUGGAGGUUGUGGCCUUGAGCCGUGGCUUUCGGAGCUAACGCGUUAAGUAGACCGCCUGGGGGAGUACCGGUCGCAAGAUUAAAACUCAAAUGAAUUGACCGGGGCUCGCCACAAGCGGUGGAGCAUGGUGGUUUAAUUCGAUGCACGCGAAGAAUCCUUACCUACUCUUGACAUCCAGAAGAACUUUCCAGAGAUGGAUUGGCUGCCUUCGGGACUCUGAAAACAGGUGCUGCAUGCUGUCGUCAGCUCGUGUUGUGAAAUGUUGGGAUAGUCCCGCCACCGAGCGCCACCCCAUAUCUUGCUUGGCUAGGCGAGAAAUGUCAGGUACCUCCAGGGAAACUUGCCGGUGCAUAACCGGGAGAAAGGGUGGGGACCGAC